rnacentral:rRNA from 1 species
UCCUGGCUCAGAUUGAACGCUGGCGGUAUGUUUAACACAUGCAAGUCGAACGGUAACAGGCCUUCGGGCGCUGACGAGUGGCGGACGGGUGAGUAACGCGUAGGAAUCUGCCUCAUAGUGGGGGACAACGUGGGGAAACUCACGCUAAUACCGCAUACGCCCUACGGGGGAAAGCGGGGGAUCUUCGGACCUCGCGCUAUGAGAUGAGCCUGCGUUAGAUUAGCUAGUUGGUAGGGUAAAGGCCUACCAAGGCGACGAUCUAUAGCUGGUCUGAGAGGACGAUCAGCCACACUGGGACUGAGACACGGCCCAGACUCCUACGGGAGGCAGCAGUGGGGAAUAUUGGACAAUGGGCGCAAGCCUGAUCCAGCAAUACCGCGUGUGUGAAGAAGGCCUUAGGGUUGUAAAGCACUUUCAAUUGGGAGGAAAACCUGCCGGUCAAUACCCGGUAGCUUGACAUUACCUUUAGAAGAAGCACCGGCUAACUCCGUG